GAUGAACGCUGGCGGCGUGCUUAACACAUGCAAGUCGAACGGAACACCCUUGAAGGAGUUUUCGGACAACUGAUAGGACUGUUUAGUGGCGGACGGGUGAGUAACGCGUGAGUAACCUGCCUUGGAGUGGGGAAUAACAGCUGGAAACAGCUGCUAAUACCGCAUAAUAUAUCUGUGUCGCAUGGCACUGGAUAUCAAAGAUUUAUCGCUCUGAGAUGGACUCGCGUCUGAUUAGCUGGUUGGCGGGGUAACGGCCCACCAAGGCGACGAUCAGUAGCCGGACUGAGAGGUUGGCCGGCCACAUUGGGACUGAGACACGGCCCAG
rnacentral:rRNA from 1 species